GGUGCUUUUUCAGGUGAGGACCAGACCAAAGUUGACCGUAGCGGCGCCUACAUUGUUAGGCAAGCUGCAAAGGGCGUGGUGGCUUCCGGGCUCGCUCGAUGCUGCAUUUUGCAGGCCAAGAGUGAUCUCUAUCAAUAUUGAUCUGAUGAGAGGAUGCAACUUCAUGUAUCAGGAAACAGCAGCAUAUGGGCAUCUCGGACGUGAUGACCCAGGUAUCACCUGGGAGAGAGUGAAGCUUCUCAAACCUCACAAAGCAUAGAUCUUUGCCUUCCUCUGGUCACACUAAUAUUCCAAAACGAUUUCUGAUUUUGUGUUUAUGUUCUAUUUGUGGUACUUGGUAGCAGAUUCUCAAAUAGUUUUUCACCGACUUUGGUGAGAUUAAUGAAAGACAAGAGAGGGAAUCCUGAAUUGUGUUUAUGUUCUAUUUGAUAAUGAUGUUUGCCUCAUACAAUCAACUCUUCUGAAGCUGGAUAAGGCAUGUCAUGAGCCACACCAAGAAUCAUGCAUUCAAGUUAUGCAGUGCUAAUUGAUCAUGUUUGGAACUAGGAGAAGUUUCCGUCGAUUUGAUGAAUUUUGAAAUGUAACAUACAAAUGAACUGUCUGUAAAUCUGUAGCAUUGAAUUAACUUAAAAAUCAACUGUCUUCUAUUGUUUGCCUAUCGUUUCUUUUUUCUUGAACUUUUCUUGUAUCUUGUAUUUUGGGGAUGUACAUAGUUCAUGUCCAAUGUAUAUGAACAAGAUAUAAAUGU